rnacentral:rRNA from 1 species
UGCUAUUGGCUUUUUGCUAAGCACUCUGGUGGGACUGCCCGGGAAACCGGGAGGAAGGUGGGGAUGAUGUCAAGUCAUCAUGGUCCUUAUGUCCAGGGCUACACACGUGUUACAAUGGCUAGUACAAAGGGAAGCAAGAUCGUAAAGGUGGAGCAAACCCCAUAAAGCUAGUCUAAGUUCGGAUUGAGGUCUGCAAUUCGACCUCAUGAAGCUGAAAUCGCUAGUAAUCGCGUAUCAUAACGACGCGGUGAAUACGUUCUCGGACCUUGUACACACCGCCCGUCACAUCAUGAGAGCUGUUUGUACCCGAAAUCAUCUUAGUCAACCUGUAAAGGAGGCGGAUGCCUAAGGUAUGUAUGGUGAUUGGGAUG